CUAGAAUGUUGUACAUUUUUUAAAUAUUAUGACAGUGUUGAGGCAGUACCACAUAUAUAGUUUAAAAACAACAAAUACGCUUGGCCUAAAAAUCCAAAACUUUUAUUCAGCCAGAAAAUUUAAAGACAAAAGUUAUGUUUUUCAGAACCUAGAUCAAAGUCAAUUAUAGCAGAACAUAAGUCUGAUUUAUGUACCACAGAAGAUGAUUAAGUCAAACAUAAAUGUUUAAGAAGACAAAAAUUUUCAAGUGUAUCUCCAAACUUAAAAAAAAAUAAUAUCUAAUUCAUCACAUAGCAUAACAAAUACCUUUCCACCAAGAUACAAAGUGGUAAAAGAACCUACUCUAAAAAAAAUCACAUCAUAAAUCUAAAGAUUAUGUAAUUAGUUAUGAAGAUAAUUCUGACAAAGAUACGCAUUGGAAACCUAAAACUAACUUCAUGUUUGAUAAAAUCUCUGAUAACAAUGAUAGCGACGAUGAUUCAGAUGGAAUAAAGUACUUAUCUCCAGGGGAAAAAAAAUUGGUCCUAGUAGUAGUUCAAAAUAUAUUCUUCUGCGAGUAACAAUUUUAACAUUUUAGCUGAUACAAAUCAAAUAAACUCAAAUAAUCAUGAAAUUAAAUUCAUCAAUUCUCCUAUUGGAAAAUGGAGUAUAGAAAAGAAUGACGAUACAUACAACUAUGAUUUAUGAAAAAAGUAUUGAUGGUAAUAAUGUAUGUAUAAAAAGAGUACUAUUUGCAAAUGAUGGAUACAAGAAAAAUAAAAAUCAGGCAUAAAUUUAAAAUUAAAUUGUUACUUUUUCACUAUUUAAACAUUUAAAUUGUUAGAUUCUACAAGCAACUUGAUGAAACCAAAAUGUGGUCCAAAAAACAAUGUCACUAAUGAUAAUAAUGUACGUCAUAUAAAAGAAAUAGAUAAUGAUUUUCAAACAUUUGUCAUACACAAUUUAAUAAAUUUGAAAUAUGAAAUUGGUUUAAAGAGUACCCGGGUCAGAUCAAAUUAUUCAAACAUUGAAAUUUUAAUGAAUAUCAGUAAUAAAAAUGUUAAUUCAUCAUCAUCAUGUAAUGAUGAAUUCAUUCAAUAUUGAUCAAUUAUUGCCAGUUAAAAGUGAGAGUGAAUUAAAGGAUUUGAAGAUAAUCUCCAAAUUGAUGAUUUUAAAACAUCAUUGAUUACUAAAUUGUCUGUUUUAAUUAAUAACAAUGACUUAGGCAACAUUACUUGAAUUGUUGGAUGUAUGUUUGAUGAUAACAUUUUGUCAUAUUAUUCAUUAUUUGGGUUCAG